GACCCCAGGGGAGGUUGGCCAUGCAGACACUGAACAUGCCAAGGCUUGCAUGCUGUGUGCCCAAAGGAUCGUGGGAGGGUCUGCAUUUCUCUCAAAACUUCCAGGGGAGGUGGAGGCUGCGAGUCUUGGGACCCUACUUUGAGAAGCGAAAACUUAAGAGUAUCCUCGUGGUUAGCAAAACUAAAAAUGAAGAGGCUGCACUGUUGCUAAGUAUCCCAGUUUGUCUCCUUUCGAAGUAGUCUCCUGGGGACGCCUAGCACUCACUUCCGUGAUACCAUCCCAACGCCAGCUCCCGGGUAUUCAUUCCAGCAGCUCGUCUUUUGGUGUAAUUUCCAGAAAGAUGAAAAUGAGUCUCUUGUCACAGCAGGCGUCUGCUCUGCAUCGAAGUCACCCAACCUGCCCAGCGCCUUGUUAAUGUCGUUAAUCACGGAAAAGACAAACAAUAAAACCCCCAGACACGUGA